GUCUGAAUACUGGCUUAAGUGAUUGCUUUACAAUUGUGAUUUCCUCCAUCCUAUUCUUUUUUUUUAAUUUGGAGAAGCCCUUUCAGUAUUUAUUUUAGAAUGGUUUUAGUACUGCAGUACUCUUUCAGUUUUUGUUUGUUGGAGAAAUUCUUUAUUUCUUCUUCUAUUUUAAAUGAUAUUCUUGCUGAGUAGAGUAUUCUAGGCUGCAGAUUUUUCCCUUUUAGACGUUUGAAUAUAUCUUGCCAUUCUCUUCUGGCCUGUAGUGUUUCUGUAGAGAAAUCAGCUGAUAGCCUUCAGGAGGGUUCCCUUAUAAUUGACGCUCUGUUUUUCUUUUGCUGCCUUUAGAAUCCUUUCUUUAACUUUUGCCAUUUUCAUUAUAAUAUGUCUUGGUGUGGGCCUGUUUGUGUUCAACUUGGGGCCUUCUGUGCUUUCUGUAUCUUGAUAUCUGUUUUCCUUUAGAUUUGGAAAGUUUUCAGACAUAAUUUCCUAUAUAUUGAAAUAUAUUUUCAAUUCCCUUUUCUUUUUCUUCUCCUUCUGGAAUCCCUAUUAUGCAUAGAUUGGCCUGCUUUCUGUUAUCCCAUAGAUCUCCUAUAUUGCUUUUCAUGUUUUCAUGUUUUUUUUUCAUUUGGUUUUCUGUCCGCUGUCCUGAUUGGGUGAUUUCCAUUAUUCUAUCUUCCAAGUCACUGAUUUGUUCCUCUGCAUUAUUCAUUCUGCUCUUUGGUGCCUCUAAUUCAGUUUGCAUCUCUGCAAAUGAAUUUUCUAAUUUUUCUUGGCUCCUCCUUAUAUUUUCUAGUUCCUUUCUAAAGUAAUCUGCAUUACUAUUUAUAUCUGCUCUUAAUUCCUUAAUAUUCACCCUUAAUUCCCUCAGUAUUUUCACUAUCUCCUUUUUUUUUUUGGCUUUUUGCCAUUUCUGGGGCCGCUCCCGCGGCAUGUGGAGGUUACCAGGCUAGGGGUCGAAUCAGAACUGUAGCUGCUGGCCCAUGCCAGAGCCACAGCAACGCGGGAUCUGAGCCAUGUCUGCGACCUAUACCACAGCUCAUGGCAACGCUGGAUCCUUAACCCACUGAGCAAGGCCAGGGAUUGAAUCUGCAACCUCAUGGUUCCUAGUUGGAUUCGUUAACCACUGAGCCACAACGGGAACUCCACUAUCUCCUUUUUGAACUCAGUGUCUGUUAGACUGCAGAAAUCUGUUUCAUUGUUGGCUGCUUCAGGUGAAUUGUCCUGUUCCUUUAACUGGGAAUGGUUCCUGAACUUCUUCACUUUGCUUAUAUUUUUUGUUUUCUGUGAGUUUAUGGAAACCAACUUUGUAGUCUUGGAGGGAUGUUUCUAUGCAGGAGAUCUCUUUUGUAUUUUGUGGGGGGGGGUUACUAUUUAUUUUUGGCAUGAGAGUUUGGAUAUUUGCCAUCUCUUUCCUCGGUGUGAGCAGGCUGUUAUCCCCUUUAUAGGGUGCUGAGCGUGUUUCCAAGGAGAAGGAGGCAAUUGGCAUGGUAGUAGUCAGUGCCUUGUUGCUGGGCUCUUGACAGUAGCAAGGACCUGCAGGAAGGUGAUGCAGGCUACUCCUAGUUGCAGGGCCCUGGGAAGUGGUAAUGAGCCUCAGACAGAUUUAGGUGGUGCCUGGAGCAUUUAGCAGUGGCAGCAGCAGCGUGUGUGAGUUCCCAGGGGAGUGAGGGCAACAAUGGGUGGUGUUUGACCACAAUGCUCUUCUCUGUGGUGCCCUCUGAGGUGACUGGGGACUUAAGUGGUGCCUGUUCAUGGACCCCUGGUGGUGGUGGGCCACACCCACCUCUGGACUUGGAGAUAAUUGCAGUGGUUUGCCCCUGCCACCUGCAGACCACACAAGAAACACCCCAUCCCACUUAGCCCAUGCAGGAGGUGUUGCACAGGUUCCUCCUAGUUGCAGGGUCCUGGGAAGUGACAGUGAUCAGGUAUGUGUGGGCACUGCUCAGAGCAUUUGUCAGUGGCAGCAGCAGGGCGGGUGUGUUCCCAGGGGUGUGAGAGCAACAAUGGAUGGUGCUCAGUUGCAGUGCCCUCAUUUUUGCCGACCUCUGAGGUGACUGGGGUGCAGAUGGAGCCUGUUCAUAGAUCCCUGGAGGCGGGAGGCCACACCCUCCUCUGGUGUCUGAGAUGACUGCUGUGGUUUGUCCCUGCCACCUGUAGAAUAUGCAAGAGGUGCCGUGUCCAGCUUAGCCCCCUGCUGCCCUUGGCUCAAACAAGAGGUGCCUGGCCACCCAUAGCUUGCCCAAGAGGCAGCCAGUCUCCUGUAGCCUGAGUAGUGGCCUCUCGCCACCUGUAGCCUGCACCAGUGGUGCCCUGCUCUCUGAGAGUCCACAUGUGUGCAGGGAAAGAGAUUCCCGGGGUGGUCUGCCCCUCCUCCUCUCGCCAUCCCCAACAAUGGCACCUUGCUUCUCCUGUGGGCCCAGACCUCCUCCCAGGUUUCCUCGGCUGUGGCGUUCCGCUCCCCAUCCUAUGGCGCACUGCUCUCUAGGCCCUCAGGCUGUCUCCACAUAGCCAGCCCUAGUCCUCUCCCUGGAACUGACCUCUGGAGCCGGAGUCUCAGUGCCCAGCCCCUGCCCGAGUGUCUCAGGCUGUGGCGUGUAGGGUAGUAGUACAGAUGAUCUGUGCGGCUCUCACCUGUUUUGGCCUCCUAAGCCCAGCUGCUGUGCUUUUCCUGGUGACUUUGAGGUCCCUCUGUCUCGGCUUAUCUCCCCAUCAAUAAGGUGGCUUCUCAGGGUGUGGGUUCCUUUUCUCUUUAACAGCUUCCUCUCAGGAGUGCCAGUCCCUUCCUGAUUCCUUUUCUCUCUCUCUCUUUUUUCUUUUAUUUUACUCAGUUAUGUAGAGGGUUUCGUGCCCUUUUUGGAGGUGUAUGUUCUUCUGCCAGCCUGCAGCAGUUGUUCUGUGUGAAUUGUUCUACAUGUAGUUGAGGUUUUUUUUUGUGUGUGUUUGUGGGAGAAGGUGAGUGUGACCUCUUACUCCUCCGCCAUCUUGAUCCUUCUCCUGAAAAUAGGAUUUUGAAGAGAUACAUGCACUUCCAUGUUUAUGACGGCAUUACUCACAACAGCCAAGAUGUAGAAAUAGCCUAAGUGUCAGUCAAGUGCCAAAUGGAUAGUGAAGAGAUAUAUAGUCUCCAUGAGAAAGAAUGAAAUCCUGCCAUUUGUUAUGAUAUGGAUGAGGGCAUUGCACUAAGGGAGACGUCGGCAGAGAAAGACUCUUACUAUGCAAUGUCACUUAUAUGUAGAACCCAAUAAAGCCAAACUUGUAAAAAUUUAGAGUAGCAUGAUGGUUACCGGGGGUUGGCGAGUGUGGGAAUUGUGGAGAUGUUUUUAAGGGUUCACACUUACAGUCAGCAGAUAAAUAAAUUCUGGAUAUCUAAUGCUUAUGAUAUUGUCAACAACAAUACUGUAUAUAAACUUCAGUGUUGCCAAGAGACUAGAUCAAAAUGGUUUCGAUUACAGUAAUGAAAUAUAACAUUGUGAUAUGAUAGAUGUUUUACUAUCUACCCUGGUAAUCAUAUUGUAAUAUAUAAAUAUAUCAAAUAAUCACAUCAUAUACUUUAUAUUUACACAAAAAAAAACUUGAAUAGCUACAACAGUCUUGAGCACAAAGAAUAGAGCUGAAGGAAUCAGAGUCCCUGACUUCAGACUAUACAUACUACAGAGCUACAGUAAUCAAAGUGUGUAGUACUGGUACAAAAGCAGACACAUAGCUCUGUGGAAAAGAACAGAGAGCUCGAAAAUAAACCCACACGCUUUUGGUCAAUUAAUCUUUAACAGAGGGGGAAGAAUAUACAGUGGAGCAAAGACAAUCUCUUCAGUAAGUGGUGCUGGGAGAACUGGAAAGCUACAUGUAAAAUAAUGAACUGGAAAUUUUACUCACACCAUGUAGAAAAUUAGGCUCAAAAGGAUUAAAGAUCUAAAUGCAAGUCCAGAAACCAUAAAACUCCUAGAGGAAAACAUAGAACAUUCCCGUCAUGGCCCAGUGGUUAAUGAGCCUGACUAGUAACUAUGACGUAGAGGGUUUGAUCCCUGGCCUCGCUCAGUGGGUCAGGGAUCCACCAUUGUUGUGAACUGUGGCGUGAACUGUGUAGGUCACAGACGCGGCUCAGAUCCUCUGUUGCUGUGGCUGUGGCGUGGCCGGCAGCUGUAGCUCCCCAAUUGGACCCCUAGCUUGGGAACCUCCACAUGCUGCGGGUGCAGCUCUAAAAAGCCAAAAAAAAAAAAAAAAAAAAGAAUGGUAGGGGAAUGUUGUAUCAUUUUUACUUGCCUUUGGGCCACCUCCUCCCCUGCUUGACCAAGGUCUUGAAGAUAUCAGUGCAUAUCUUCAGUGUGAGACCGUGGUCCCUGCUUCCAAAAGGAGAGCUGACCUUGUUCUCAAAGAAUUGUGUUUGUGUGUUUUGAGCUCUCUGGGGACUAACCAAAGGACUGAUAAAAGGCAGCCCCUCCGCUCCCUGCCCCAGCACAGAGCUUCUUUAGGCAGAAAAGCAGCCAAGCGGAGGGCACAUUUCUUGCUAACAAGAAAGGCGAAUGAAUAAUCCCUGCUGUCUGGGGGAAGAUACUAAGGUUCAGACAAAUAAUAGACAUGCUGCAAAUUUAGGAGGAAAGACUGGGGAGAGAGAUUAUGUGUGGAAGUAGAACAUUAGAUAACUCCCUCUAUAUGGCAAUUUAGAAAGUCAUGUGCAAAGUCUGGGUAGAAUAUAUGCUCCGAAAAUCCCAGACAGACCAAAGCUUUUAUUUCUAACUAAUUCUUAGGCUCAGGGUAGACAGAAAGGGUAAUGCAGAGUCCUAAAGGGCUUGUCUAGGCAUUGAAAGAAUGUUAAAGAGUGAACCAGUAUGUGAAGAUUUUUUUCCUCCAUGUAUUUAGGAAAAUCUCUAUCAUAAACUCAUGACCUGCACCUAAGCUAAAGGAGGGCACCUCAUAGACGACACACCACAAAUACAGUCCUUGUAGAAAAAAGUGGGAAACCACUGAAGAAGUAAAACUCAGAGAAACCGAUGAAAACAAUCUCUGAUCAUGAAGAAUAUGAUUCCCAGAGUUACCACCUUAUAAUAUUUAGUGUCCAUUUUCCACAGAAAAAUCUAAAAGCAUAUGAAGAAACAAGAAAGAGGGCCCAUGUAUAGAAAAAUUAACAGAAACCGUCUAUGAGAAAUCAAGUCAGAGGAUUUAAUUGUCCCGGCCUCUGCUCACUUGUAUGAUUCCAAAGCUGUUCCUUGCUUUUAGGUAGUAUAAUCUAAAAACCAGGUUCACCUCUUGAUUGGCUUUGAGCCACAUGAGACAACCAAGCCAAAGUAUGGGAGAAGGAAGGGUUUAUUACUUCCAGCAAGUAAGGAGAAUACUGGGGAUCUUUCCCAAAGCAGUGUCUCCCUGAAUGGCAAAAUUGGAGAAGUUUUAAGCUAAGGGUACAUGGAUAUUCAUAAAGGGGAUUGGGAGGCUGAUAGAGUCCAAGCUUUAGAUGAUUGAAGUCCUGAGAGUCAGAAAAGAUCAGCGUUAUCAUCCUUCAGGUUCCAGCUGAUCUAGUGAUUAAACUCUUGAGGCUAACUUUUACUGUUGAAAGAGAACUGGGAGUUUUGCUAAUUUGCUAUUGUUAUUUUUCUUGCCGGAUAACAGCCGUUCAUUUCUGCAUUCUUUUGUUCUCUUAAGACCAUUAAUUACUGACACCAUCCAAGGGCAGGCAUUGUGGUCAGGCUUAGAUCACAAAAUGGCUUAGGCCAAAAAUGGCUUCUCUUCUGUCAAGAAAGCCACGCCUGUUCUCUUUCUCCAGGGACCCCCCUACUCUAUCGGCUUACAAUACCACUUCUAGCUACUAAAAUCUGUGUUAUUUUUAAUUGUUUACAAUAGAUCACCACAAAUUUAGUAUCUUAAAACAACAUGCAUGUUCUAUCACAGUUUCUGGAGUCAUGACUUAGCUGGGUCCUCUGCCCAAGGUAUCACAAGGCAACAACCUAGGUGUUGACUGAACUGUAUUCUCAUCUAGAAUUUCAGCUGGAGAAAAGCUGCUUUUAAGCCUAUACAUGUUGGCAGAAUUUAUUUCCUGGUGGUUAUAGAGUCAAGGUCCCAUUUUCUUGCUGACUCUCAUUGGGGCUACUCUUAGCUCUUAAAGACUACACAGUUUCUUGCCAUGUGGCCGUCUCCAUAGGCCUCUCUCAGAAUGGCAGCAUACUUUUCAAACCAACAGGAGGGAAAAUUACCUGACCUAAAGAGAGUUCCAAUCCUCCUUUAAAGGCUUUCACCUGAUAAAAUCAAGCCACUCAGGGUAAUCCUCUGGUUAACACAAAAUCGCCUGAUGUGGGACCUUAUUGCAUCUAAAAAAUUCUGUCAACUUUGCCAUAAUCUCUUGGCUAGAAGCAAGUGGAGGGCAUCAUGGAGCUAUUCUCAUCUGUGUGCCAAGUGACAAAAUAUAUAGAGUGCUCAGGCCAGUGUCUGACCUACACUAAGGGUUCAGUAAAUGUUAACUCCUCCUGUCUUUUAAUUUUCCUGAAGCCCCUGUUAGAACCAUUAUCUCAGUGCCUAGGGGACCUGGGAUUCACUGAGGGGGAGGAGGUCGCCACACCAAACCAAGGGGGAAUCUGAUUCUCCUGGUGACAACAGCGUGCCUCAGAGUUUCGGAAAAUCGGAGAGAGGAGCUGUUUUCGGGAACUUGAAGAGCUAAACCAGAGAACUUAGAAGGAAUAUGUAUACAGAUUAGGCUCCAGGGAAUUUUUCAGUGCAAAGAGGUGGUGUG
rnacentral:lncRNA from 1 species